rnacentral:rRNA from 1 species
CAGUCGCCACGGUAAUACGAAGGGUGCAAGCGUUAAUCGGAAUUACUGGGCGUAAAGCGUGCGUAGGCGGUGAGUUAAGUCUGCUGUGAAAUCCCCGGGCUCAGUCUGGGAAUGGCAGUGGAUACUGGCUCGCUAGAGUGUGUCAGAGGAUGGUGGAAUUCCCGGUGUAGCGGUGAAAUGCGUAGAGAUCGGGAGGAACAUCAGUGGCGAAGGCGGCCAUCUGGGACAACACUGACGCUGAGGCACGAAAGCGUGGGGAGCAAACAGGAUUAGAUACCCGCGUAGUCCCUGUCUCUUAUAC